AUCCCGGACACGGGUGUAUGUAAUGAGGUGGACCGAACAGUCGUAUUGACAUGAACAUGUGACACAGGGGCUAGCCUCGGCCACGGGUGUAUGUAAUGAGGUGGACCGAACAGUCGUAAUGACAUGAACAUGUGACACAGGGGCUAGCCUCGGCCACGGGUGUAUGUAAUGAGGUGGACCGAACUGUCGUAAUGACAUGAACAUGUGACACAGGGGCUAGCCUCGGCCACGGGUGUAUGUAAUGAGGUGGACCGAACUGUCGUAAUGACAUGAACAUGUGACACAGGGGCUAGCCUCGGCCACAGGUGUAUGUAAUGAGGUGGACCGAACUGUCGUAAUGACAUGAACAUGUGACACAGGGGCUAGCCUCGGCCACGGGUGUAUGUAAUGAGGUGGACCGAACAGUCGUAAUGACAAGAACAUCUGACACAAGGGCUAGCCUCGGCCACGGGUGUAUGUAAUGAGGUGGACCGAACAGUCGUAAUGACAAGAACAUGUGACACAGGGGCUAGCCUCGGCCACGGGUGUAUGUAAUGAGGUGGACCGAACAGUCGUAAUGACAAGAACAUCUGACACAAGGGCUAGCCUCGGCCACGGGUGUAUGUAAUGAGGUGGACCGAACAGUCGUAAUGACAAGAACAUCUAACACAAGGGCUAGCCUCGGCCACGGGUGUAUGUAAUGAGGUGGACCGAACAGUCGUAAUGACAUGAACAUGUGACACAGGGGCUAGCCUCGGCCACAGGUGUAUGUAAUGAGGUGGACCGAACAGUCGUAAUGACAAGAACAUCUGACACAAGGGCUAGCCUCGGCCACGGGUGUAUGUAAUGAGGUGGACCGAACUGUCGUAAUGACAUGAACAUGUGACACAGGGGCUAGCCUCGGCCACGGGUGUAUGUAAUGAGGUGGACCGAACAGUCGUAAUGACAAGAACAUGUGACACAGGGGCUAGCCUCGGCCACGGAUGUAUGUAAUGAGGUGGACCGAACAGUCGUAAUGACAUGAACAUGUGACACAGGGGCUAGCCUCGGCCACGGGUGUAUGUAAUGAGGUGGACCGAACUGUCGUAAUGACAUGAACAUGUGACACAGGGGCUAGCCUCGGCCACGGGUGUAUGUAAUGAGGUGGACCGAACUGUCGUAAUGACAUGAACAUGUGACACAGGGGCUAGCCUCGGCCACGGGUGUAUGUAAUGAGGUGGACCGAACAGUCGUAAUGACAAGAACAUGUGACACAGGGGCUAGCCUCGGCCACGGAUGUAUGUAAUGAGGUGGACCGAACAGUCGUAAUGACAAGAACAUGUGACACAGAGGCUUGCAUCGGACACGGGUGUAUGUAAUGAGGUGGACCGAACAGUCGUAAUAACAUGAACAUGUGACACAGGGGGUAGCCUCGGCCACGGGUGUAUGUAAUGAGGUGGACCGAACAGUCGUAAUGACAUGAACAUGUGACACAGAGGCUAGCCUCGGACACGGAGGAAUGGAAUGAGGUCAACCGAACAGUCAAGGAGAUGAACAUGUGACACAAGGGCUAGCCUCAGCCACGGGUGUAUGUAAUGAGGUGGACCGAACAGUCGCAAUGACAUGAACAUGUGACACAGGGGGUAGCCUCGACCACGGGUGUAUGUAAUGAGGUGGACCGAACAGUCGUAAUGACAUGAACAUGUGACACAGAGGCUAGCCUCGGCCACGGGUGUAUGUAAUGAGGUGGACCGAACAGUCGUAAUGACAUGAACAUGUGACACAGAGGCUAGCCUUGGGUGUAUGUAAUGAGGUGGACCGAACAGUCGUAAUGACAUGAACAUGUGACACAGAGGCUAGCCUCAGACACGGAGGAAUGGAAUGAGGUGAACCGAACAGUCAAGGACAAGUACAUGUGACACAAGGGCUAGCCUCGGCCACGGGUGUAUGUAAUGAGGUGGACCGAACAGUCGUAAUGACAAGAACAUGUGACACAGAGGCUUGCAUCGGACGCGGGUGUAUGUAAUGAGGUGGACCGAACAGUCGUAAUGACAUGAACAUGUGACACAGAGGCUAGCCUCAGACACGGAGGAAUGGAAUGAGGUGGACCGAACAGUCGUAAUGACAUGAACAUGUGACACAGAGGCUAGCCUCGGCCACGGGUGUAUGUAAUGAGGUGGACCGAACAGUCGUAAUGACAUGAACAUGUGACACAGAGGCUAGCCUCAGACACGGAGGAAUGGAAUGAGGUGAACCGAACAGUCAAGGACAAGUACAUGUGACACAAGGGCUAGCCUCGGCCACGGGUGUAUGUAAUGAGGUGGUCUGAAGAGCCGUAAUGACAAGAACAUGUGACACAAGGGCACGUCCUGGACGCAGAAGUAUGUAAUGAGGUGGACCGAAGAGGCGCAAUGACGACAAUACGUGACACAGGGGCUCGUCCCGGGCACGUGUAUGUAGACAUAUGGACUGAACCUUCCAACCAUUUCACAGGGACACUAUGGCGGUAAGGACAGUAGUUACAUCCACGGGUGACCACUAAUCUGCCAGUUACUUCCUGAAAUAAAUUCCCCCCGAACGGUAUACAUAAAGCGGGCGUGCCGCGACCCCCGUCACCACCUAAAGAGAUCCGUGCACAUUGUACUAACCAUACUGGUUAUUCUUAGGCCUGGCGAUGAUGACGGGUGUGGUACAGAGUAGGGUUGUUGCGAUACCAAAAUUUUGAUUCUAUAAAAAAGUAUUGCGAUACUCGAUACCACGCAAUAAAAAUAAAACAGCAAAAAAGCUGCAUGCA